rnacentral:rRNA from 1 species
GACGAACGCUGGCGGCGUGCUUAACACAUGCAAGUCGAACGGAAAGGCCCUGCUUUUGUGGGGUGCUCGAGUGGCGAACGGGUGAGUAACACGUGAGUAACCUGCCCUUGACUUUGGGAUAACUUCAGGAAACUGGGGCUAAUACCGGAUAGGAGCUCCUGCUGCAUGGUGGGGGUUGGAAAGUUUCGGCGGGUGGGGAUGGACUCGGGGCUUAUCAGCUUGUUGGUGGGGUAGUGGCUUACCAAGGCUUUGACGGGUAGCCGGCCUGAGAGGGUGACCGGCCACAUUGGGACUGAGAUACGGCCCAGACUCCUACGGGAGGCAGCAGUGGGGAAUAUUGCACAAUGGGCGGAAGCCUGAUGCAGCAACGCCGCGUGCGGGAUGACGGGCUUCGGGUUGUAAACCGCUUUCGCCUGUGACGAAGCGUGAGUGACGGUAAUGGGUAAAGAAGCACCGGCUAACUACGUG